UAAUUCUCCCUUCUCUUACUGU
rnacentral:miRNA from 1 species